ensembl:lncRNA ST8SIA5-DT ST8SIA5 divergent transcript
CCGAGGGGUCCGCGUAGCGCAUCCUGGCUACCGGGCGCCGCGGGCGCGGGGUACGGGGCGGCCAGGCAAUGACUCGCGGGGUUCCGGGGCCCCGGGGGGCGCGCGGCCGACUUGGCGCCUCACGGUGCGGUCAGGCAGGCGCCGGUGCCGGGUAGCCGCCGAUUUCCCCGCGGAGGGGAGACGCCAGGUGCCACGAGCCGGAGGCGGCCCCUCCCGCCGAGGUGGCGGCCAAUGGGGAGCAAGACCCGGGCUCCGUCCCCUGUGCGCCCCAGCGCGCCGCGCAUCGACCCCUCCAGUCCGGCGCCGGAUCGCGGUUGCCCAGCGCGCUGUGCCCUGCCGGGGGCGGGCCACGUUUGAUCUCCGGGCCCGCAGCAAGGGAUCGCGAAGGUUGGCCUCCGGUUCUGCCGAUAGGGACGGGGGGAGGGGGCGUAC